rnacentral:rRNA from 1 species
UCCGUAGGCGGGCAAUUAAGUCAAAGGUGAAAUCCCACAGCUCAACUGUGGAACUGCCUUUGAUACUGGUUGUCUUGAGUUAUAGUGAAGUAGAUAGAAUAUGUAGUGUAGCGGUGAAAUGCAUAGAUAUUACAUAGAAUACCGAUUGCGAAGGCAGUCUACUAACUGUAUACUGACGCUAAUGGACGAAAGCGUGGGGAGCGAACAGGAUUAGAUACCCUGGUAGUCC